rnacentral:lncRNA from 1 species
UUCUGUCUCAAUCAUUUCUUUCAUGAUAUUCUUUGGGAAAUAUAUUUCAUUCAUCUCUGCCCUAUGAGCAGUGUACAGCAGUUUAGGAGCCGUGCUGACCUUUCCUAGCACCAAGGAAGAUUGCAGAGUGCAGGAGCUUCAUUUUCCUCUUGCAGAGGAUUGUAGCAGUUUGGUGGAUUCCUGUGGGGACAGGCUUGGGAUGUCUGCAGGCUGCCCCAGCUGAGAGCAGGUCAGAGGGAUGCAGCUCCCCAGCACGUGACACCCACUGAAAGGGAAGGCAGUAGAUAUGGAAAGAGAAGAAAGUCAUUUUUCUCCAGAGCUACAGAGGCUUGCUAUUGAGUUCCCGCAAGGCUGAGUGAAGCUAAACACGUUGUGGCCAUACAGGUCAUGGAACAGUCUUGUUCUGGAUUUUUCCUCAAAGGGAAACUUCCCAAGAAAGCUGCUGGGGCCCCAGCUGACUCUCCUCACAGGUUGAACACUGUGGACUCCAGCAGUUUAGCCUCUCUAGUCUGUGGUACCUGAGAGAUGAAAUCCAGUGCUGGGUGGUGGGGAAGGCAGGAUGGAGUUACCUGCAUGCCUGUGAGCCCCUGCACUGCAUCAUGCAUGUAGCAGGGACAGUCUUCUGGCAUGGCUGGGCACAACCAUUGUUCAGGGGUGGGCAGAGCUUGCUGUGUGGCUCAAGGACUGUCUUGACUGCUGGACAUGUGCAUGGCCUGGGUGAGUCCCUCUUCCUGUGUUGUGCUCAAACAGCAUUUCUGGGCAAGGAGGUGAAGUUUGGGGAAACUCAGAAUGGGCAGUGCUAAGAACACCACAAGUGGGAUGAGCAGCAUUUGUGUGGGUGUUCACUGGCAUGUCUAAACUGUCCUUGCCUGGAGGACUGUAGGUGCAAGUACCUUCUUGGUUCCUGUUGUCCUGGCUCUCUGUUGUGGCCUUGUAUGUAUGUGAACGCUUGUUUAGUACUGAGUAAUUCCUGGUUCUGCGGGAUGAUGUGUAAAAUGGAGCUUAUCUCAGUUAUAGCUGAGCCCAAUUUACAUCUUUGCAGGGCUUACUCUGAAUACAUUUCUGGGACAUUUGAACUUCCUUCAAGAGCAAUUGUGAAAUUUCCUGUAACUAAUUUGAAAGCAGUAACCCCAUUGCUAGAUGGUGUUCAAAUGUUCUUGAAGAGCUUAGGUAGAACAACCAAUUUCUGGAGCAGUGUCAGGAUAUUGGCCAGGACUUUUUAUUGAAAAACAGUGUAUUCCUUAGUGGGACUGUGGGGUGCUUUUUUAUUUCAUGGUGGAAUGUGGCAUUUGAGAAUGGAGAUGUUGCCGUUGAAAGAUAAUUUUCUUAAUCACCUCUCAUCUCUGAAACAUACAGUAGGAACCCAAUUAUGGCUUGUGUUAGUGCACAAAAGUGUAGUUUUAUCAUGCUGAAGUUGUUUAUUGGAACAGUCAAAGUAGUUUUAUUGUGAAUGGGCUUUUUGCUGUAGGAUGGAAACUAUGAUUAAGUCUCAAGACAGUAAGAAGGGUUUGUGUGUAAUUCUUUAAGUACGCUCAUGGCACUCUCACAGUUUUCACUGAAAACUUCCUUAAUAACGCGUGGUCUGUUGAUUAUUUAAAAUCCUGGUCAAACAUUGUAAGAGUUAUAAAAACCUGAAGGAUUUAAAUAGUAUU